rnacentral:rRNA from 1 species
GACGAACGCUGGCGGCGUGCCUAAUACAUGCAAGUCGAACGCAGUGGGGACGGGUGAGUAACACGUGGGUAACCUCCCAUCAGAGGGGAUAACACUUGGAAACAGGUGCUAAACCGAUACUGAUGGAUGGACCCGCGGUGCAUUAGCUAGUUGGUGAGGUAACGGCUCACCAAGGCCACGAUGCAUAGCGUACCUGGGAGGAGGGUCGGCCACGCGGGGACUGAAACGCGGGCCAGACUCCUACGGGAGGCAGCAGUGGGGAGUCUUCAGCGAUGGACAAAAGUCUGAACGAACAUCGCCGCGUGAGUGAAGGAGGUUUUCGGAUCGUAAAACUCUGUUGUUAGAGAAGCGGUAUCUAACCAGAAAGCCACGGCUAACUACGUGCCAGCCGCGGUAAUAC